rnacentral:rRNA from 1 species
CCCAGACUCCUACGGGAGGCAGCAGUGGGGAAUAUUGCACAAUGGGGGGAAACCCUGAUGCGGCGACGCCGCGUGAGUGAAGAAGUAUUUCGGUAUGUAAAGCUCUAUCAGCAGGGAAGAAAAUGACGGUACCUGAUUAAGAAGCCCCGGCUAACUACGUGCCAGCAGCCGCGGUAAUACGUAGGUGGCAAGCGUUAUCCGGAUUUACUGGGUGUAAAGGGCGUGUAGGCGGGGACGCAAGUCAGAUGUGAAAACCACGGGCUCAACCUGUGGCCUGCAUUUGAAACUGUGUUUCUUGAGUACUGGAGAGGCAGACGGAAUUCCUAGUGUAGCGGUGAAAUGCGUAGAUAUUAGGAGGAACACCAGUGGCGAAGGCGGCUUACUGGACUGUAACUGACGUUGAGGCUCGAAAGCGUGGGGAGCAAACAGGAUUAGAGACCCCAGUAUUG